rnacentral:rRNA from 1 species
CCGGCGCACGGGUGAGUAACGCGUAUGCACUUACCUAUCAGAGGGGGAUAGCCCGGCGAAAGGCGGAUUAAUACCCCAUAAACCCGCAUGGGUUAAAGAUUACGCUGAUAGAUAGGCAUGCGUUCCAUUAGGCAGUUGGCGGGGUAACGGCCCACCAAACCGACGAUGGAUAGGGGUUCUGAAGGAAGGUCCCCCACAUUGGUACUGAGACACGGACCAAACUCAAACGGGAGGCAGCAGUGAGGAAUAUUGGUCAAUGGCCGAGAGGCUGAACCAGCCAAGUCGCGUGAAGGAAGAAGGAUUAUGGUUUGUAAACUUCUUUUAUAGGGGAAUAAGUGGAGGACGUGUCCUUUUUUGUAUGUACCCUAUGAAUAAGCAUCGGCUAACUCCGUGCCAGCAGCCGCGGUAAUACGGAGGAUGCGAGCGUUAUCCGGAUUUAUUGGGUUUAAAGGGUGCGUAGGUGGUG